rnacentral:rRNA from 1 species
GAGCACUGUUUCGGCUAGGGGGCCAUCCCGGCUUACCAACCCGAUGCAAACUGCGAAUACCGGAGAAUGUUAUCACGGGAGACACACGGCGGGUGCUAACGUCCGUCGUGAAGAGGGAAACAACCCAGACCGCCAGCUAAGGUCCCAAAGUCAUGGUUAAGUGGGAAACGAUGUGGGAAGGCCCAGACAGCCAGGAUGUUGGCUUAGAAGCAGCCAUCAUUUAAAGAAAGCGUAAUAGCUCACUGGUCGAGUCGGCCUGCGCGGAAGAUGUAACGGGGCUAAACCAUGCACCGAAGCUGCGGCAGCGACGCUGAUGCGUUGUUGGGUAGGGGAGCGUUCUGUAAGCCUGUGAAGGUGGCCUGUGAGGGUGGCUGGAGGUAUCAGAAGUGCGAAUGCUGACAUAAGUAACGAUAAAGCGGGUGAAAAGCCCGCUCGCCGGAAGACCAAGGGUUCCUGUCCAACGUUAAUCGGGGCAGGGUGAGUCGACCCCUAAGGCGAGGCCGAAAGGCGUAGUCGAUGGGAAACGGGUUAAUAUUCCCGUACUUGGUGUUACUGCGAAGGGG